AUUGAACGCUGGCGGCAGGCCUAACACACGCAAGUCGAGCGGAGCGGCGGACGGGUGAGUAAUGCCUAGGAAUCUGCCUGGUAGUGGGGGAUAACGUCCAGAAACGGGCGCUAAUACAGCAUACUAUCAGAUGAGCCUAGGUAGGAGUAGCUAGUUGGUGGGGUAAAGGCCUACCAAGGCGACGAACCGUAACUGGUCUGGGCGGAUGAUCAGUCAAACUGGAACUGAGCCACGGGCCAGACUCCUACGGUAGGCAGCAGUGGGGAAUAUUGGAAAAUGGGCGAAAGCCUGAUCCAGACAUGCCGCGUGUGGGAAGAAGGUCUUCGGAUUGUAAAGCACUUUAAGUUGGGAGGCGUUACCAACAGAAUAAGCACCGGCUAACUUCGUGCCAGCAGCCGCGGUAAUAC
rnacentral:rRNA from 1 species